UACGUAGGGUGCGAGCGUUAAUCGGAAUUACUGGGCGUAAAGCGUGCGCAGGCGGUGAUGUAAGACCGAUGUGAAAUCCCCGGGCUUAACCUGGGAACUGCAUUGGUGACUGCAUUGCUGGAGUAUGGCAGAGGGGGGUGGAAUUCCAUGUGUAGCAGUGAAAUGCGUAGAGAUGUGGAGGAACACCGAUGGCGAAGGCAGCCCCCUGGGCCAAUACUGACGCUCAUGCACGAAAGCGUGGGGAGCAAACAGG
rnacentral:rRNA from 1 species